UCCUACGGGACGCAGCAGUGAGGAAUAUUGGUCAAUGGGCGCGAGCCUGAACCAGCCAAGUAGCGUGAAGGAUGACUGCCCUACAGGUUGUAAACUUCUUUUACAAAGGAAUAAAGUGAGGCACGUGUGCCUUUUUGUAUGUACUUUAUGAAUAAGGAUCGGCUAACCCCGUGCCAGCAGCCGCGGUAAUACGGAGGAUCCGAGCGUUAUCCGGAUUUAUUGGGUUUAAAGGGAGCGUAGAUGGGUUGUUAAGUCAGUUGUGAAAGUUUGCGGCUCAACCGUAAAAUUGCAAUUGAUACUGGCAG
rnacentral:rRNA from 1 species